CAAAAAGUAGCUUACAACAAAGCAUUCGACCUACAAUCGAAAGACAUUAACACAAAUCUUUUUGA
rnacentral:tRNA from 1 species